GUGUCAGCAGCCGCGGUAAGACAGAGGAUGCAAACGUUGCUCGGAAUUACUGGGCGUAAAGCGCGUGUAGGCGGCUUGGUAAGUCGGACGUGAAAUCCCGGGGCUCAACCCCGGAAGGGCGCUCGAUACUGCCGAACUUGGGUCCUGAAGAGGAGAGCGGAAUUCCCGGUGUAGAGGUGAAAUUCGUAGAUAUCGGGAGGAACACCAGUGGCGAAGGCGGCUCUCUGGGCAGGUACCGACGCUGAGACGCGAAAGCGUGGGAAGCAAACAGGAUUAGAUACCCUCGUAGUCC
rnacentral:rRNA from 1 species